rnacentral:rRNA from 1 species
CACGUAGGGGGCUAGCGUUGUUCGGAAUCACUGGGCGUAAAGGGCGUGUAGGCGGUCCGCUAAGUCUGAUGUGAAAGCCCGAGGCUUACCCUCGGAAGUGCAUUGGAGACUGGCGGACUGGAGUCCCGGAGAGGAAGGUGGAAUUCCACGUGUAGCGGUGAAAUGCGUAGAGAUGUGGAGGAACACCAAUGGCGAAGGCAGCCUUCUGGGCCAACACUGACGCUCAUGCACGAAAGCGUGGGGAGCAAACAGG